GUGGGGAAUAUUGGACAAUGGGCGAAAGCCUGAUCCAGCCAUGCCGCGUGUGUGAAGAAGGUCUUCGGAUUGUAAAGCACUUUAAGUUGGGAGGAAGGGCAGUAAGUUAAUACCUUGCUGUUUUGACGUUACCGACAGAAUAAGCACCGGCUAACUUCGUGCCAGCAGCCGCGGUAAUACGAAGGGUGCAAGCGUUAAUCGGAAUUACUGGGCGUAAAGCGCGCGUAGGUGGUUUUGUAAGUUGGAGGUGAAAUCCCCGGGCUCAACCUGGGAACAGCCUCCAAAACUGCAUGACUAGAGUACGGUAGAGGGUAGUGGAAUUUCCUGUGUAGCGGUGAAAUGCGUAGAUAUAGGAAGGAACACCAGUGGCGAAGGCGACUACCUGGACUGAUACUGACACUGAGGUGCGAAAGCGUGGGGAGCAAACAGGAUUAGAUACCCUAGUAGUCC
rnacentral:rRNA from 1 species